rnacentral:rRNA from 1 species
GACGAACGCUGGCGGCAGGCUUAACACAUGCAAGUCGAGCGCCCCGCAAGGGGAGCGGCGGACGGGUGAGUAACGCGUGGGAAUCUGCCCUUUGGUGUGGGACAACCACGGGAAACUGUGGCUAAUACCGCAUGAGCCCGAAAGGGGAAAGCCGCAAGGGGCCGAAGGAUGAGCCCGCGUCGGAUUAGCUAGUUGGUAGGGUAAUGGCCUACCAAGGCGAUGAUGCGUAGCUGGUCUGAGAGGAUGAGCAGCCACACUGGGACGGAGACACGGCCCAGACUCCUGCAGGAGGGAGCAGUGGGGAAUAUUGGACAAUGGGGGAAACCCAGAUCCAGCCAUGCCGCGUAAGUGAUGAAGGCCUUCGGGUUGUAAAGCUCUUUUGUGCGGGAAGAUAAUGACGGUACCGCAAGAAUAAGCCCCGGCUAACUUCGUGCCAGCCGCCGCCGUAAUAC